GUUAUGGAUUGGCAGAGGGAUCAGGCAUUCCUAGUGAGGCGCUGGAAUACGGGGUAUCUGAUGCACUCGGUGCCGAGGCGCAUCCUGACCAAUUCAGUCGUGAGGAUGAAACCUAGGGACCAGACUUGAUCAGAUAUCUAGGUAGUCCUACCGCUAAACGAGGAAUGCUGCGUCUGUCUGGGUAUCGAUACCCAUGUACAUAAGAAGCAGUUUCACCAUUACGCCGAGGGAGUACAGUUGCAAGUCUGAAACUCAAAGGAAUGACGUGGCGCCCGCGCAAUCCGAACAACAUGUGGUUCAAUUCUACUCAACGCGAAGAACCUUACCCAGUCUUGAGCAGUGAUUGAUCAUUCCCGUCAGUGAACUUGGUGAAGGACACUCGUAGAGUUUGUUGCAUGGCUGUCGUCAGCUCGUGUCGUGAGAUUUUGGGUUAAGUCCCGCAACGAGUCAAAACCUUGUCGGCUGUUGCCAUCAGGUAAUAAAAAAAAACUUUGCAGAGACGUCCGGUGAUAAUCUGAAUGAAGGUGGGGAUGUCGUCAAGUCAGCACGGCCUUUAUGUCGUGGGCUACACGAGUGCUUCAAUGGCCGGUACAAACAGUGGCAAAACCGCAAUGUCCAACUAAUCGGAGAAAGCCUGUCUCAGUUCGAUUUCCAGCCGGCAACUGGCAUGCUGUCAGUUGGAAUCACUAUUCAUUUCGGAUCGUUCCCCUCUCGCUUGGGACCUUCUCGCCCCUUUUUCACUCCCCCCGUCACAUCUCGAAAGCCCCUGUAGGAGAAGUCGGAACUCCUCAAGGGAGAGCGCGCCUGGGUAGGGAAAUCACACUAAGUCGUACAAGAAACCGUAAGGAAGCACGGCCACUAAAUCAAUCGCCCUAUAUAGC
rnacentral:rRNA from 1 species